rnacentral:lncRNA from 1 species
CCAAUGCUGUUUUUUUUUUUUUUUUUUUUUUAAUUACUUGCAUUCAUCCUGUGGUUUCCAUCCCAGCUCAUGGCAUCCUGCCCAGGGUAUCACUAACUCCCUCCUCACUUCCUGCCACAGCCUCUUCCCUCUCCCUUUUCUAAGGUUCUCACACACGGCUGCCAGGUUCCUCACCUGAAGGAGAACCCUGAUCACCUCCUGGGGAUGGGCUCUUCUCGAGCAUGGCUUCCAAGUACCCAGAUUCACAGAGGCUUCCUCCUUGAAGAGUCUACAACAGACCUGAUACCAUAAUUGGGCACACAUCCUUCUGAAAUUCCUUCUAGAAAAUGAUUUAAUCUACUAAGAAAGCCCACAUUUGAAUUCAUUCAUUCCAAAAAGAGUCUCCAUCCACUUCCUAGGUUUUGAGCUCUUUUUAUGAGUCCAUGGAAGCUGCCGUGGUUUUCUCUGAGUCCAUGGCCAUAUUUUCCCUCUGGGUUCUUGUUUCUUUUAAGUCUUAUACCUCUAUUAGUAUUAAAGAUCAUCAGCUGUG